rnacentral:rRNA from 1 species
CUACGGAGGAUGCAAGCGUUAUCCGGAUUUAUUGGGUUUAAAGGGUGCGUAGGCGGUUUGCUAAGCGGGAGGUGAAAUGCCGGCGCUCAACGUCGGAAGUGCCUCCCGAACUGGUGGACUUGAAUGACUCUGCCGUGGGAGGAAUGUGUAGUGUAGCGGUGAAAUGCUUAGAGAUUACACAGAACACCGAUUGCGAAGGCAUCUCACGAAGGGUUGAUUGACGCUGAGGCACGAAAGCGUGGGGAUCAAACAGGAUUAGAUACCCUGGUAGUCCACGCAGUAAACGAUGAUGGCUAACCGCUGGAUCCAUCGGUUCAGUGGCCAAGCGAAAGCGAUAAGCCAUCCACCUGGGGAGUACGACCGCAAGGUUGAAACUUAAAGGAAUUGGCGGGG